CUGGUUCUCUGUCUGGUGUUAGUGUGCUCCAUCCUGCCCCAGCAAAGGUUGUAAUUCCACCUCUCCACCUGGUUCUCUGUCUGGUGUUAGUGUGCUCCAUCCUGCCCCAGCAAAGGUUGUAAUUCCACCUCUCCACCUGGUUCUCUGUCUGGUGUUAGUGUGCUCCAUCCUGCCCCAGCAAAGGUUGUAAUUCCACCUCUCCACCUGGUUCUCUGUCUGGUGUUAGUGUGCUCCAUCCUGCCCCAGCAAAGGUUGUAAUUCCACCUCUCCACCUGGUUCUCUGUCUGGUGUUAGUGUGCUCCAUCCUGCCCCAGCAAAGGUUGUAAUUCCACCUCUCCACCUGGUUCUCUGUCUGGUGUUAGUGUGCUCCAUCCUGCCCCAGCAAAGGUUGUAAUUCCACCUCUCCACCUGGUUCUCUGUCUGGUGUUAGUGUGCUCCAUCCUGCCCCAGCAAAGGUUGUAAUUCCACCUCUCCACCUGGUUCUCUGUCUGGUGUUAGUGUGCUCCAUCCUGUAUGAAGCUGGAAGGCCUGUAUCAUAAGCUCUCUCUUACUGCCUCUGAUAGAAGUCUACAUUCCUAUAACAUGACAUCCAUAUACUUUUUUUAUAAUAAGGGUUAA